UACGUAGGGUGCGAGCGUUAAUCGGAAUUACUGGGCGUAAAGUGUGCGCAGGCGGCCGAGCAAGUCGAGUGUGAAAGCCCCGAGCUUAACUUGGGAACUGCGCUCGAAACUACUUGGCUAGAGUGUGGCAGAGGGAGGUGGAAUUCCACGUGUAGCGGUGAAAUGCGUAGAGAUGUGGAGGAACACCGAUGGCGAAGGCAGCCUCCGUGGGCCAACACUGACGCUCAUGCCACGAAAGCGUGGGGAGCAAACAGG
rnacentral:rRNA from 1 species